GCCCUUAUAGCUCAGUGGUAGAGCGCAGCACUUGUAAUUCUUCUGAAGAUAUUCUACAAGUCCAUGCUGAGGUCCAUCGUUCAAUCCGGUGUGGGGGCA